UGACAGAUGGAGAAUCAGAGAAAACAGGUAUUUUGCUUAGAGUUGCAGGCACAUAAAGCCAGUUCAUUCUUAUAUUCAUUUAUUUCAUCAAAUCACCUUUAUGUGUUCUGUUCAUGGGUUUUUGUUGUCUGAAGGUGAGAGGCAGCACUUUGCACUCGCUGGGCUAGUGCUUUGCUACUGGGAUGCUAAGUCCCAGCCCCUCUCCCCCUUCUUAAACCUUUACUUUAAGGGACUGACUUCUAGGGUCAGUUUGUCUGUUGGGAAAUCCACUGGAUGACAAAAUAUUGAAUAUAUGAAGUAAAUCAGAAUUUGAUGACUUGGUACACAUAGAGAGAAAGAGUAAUACCUUUGGUUUCUCAGGGAACACACUGUAAUAACCCUAGUUUGAGAAUGUAGCAUAGGGGUGUAGUGGCAGUUGCUAGGCUACCCAGCACUCGGGAGGCAGAGGCAGGAGGUUCUCUGUGAGUUCUAGACCAGCCUAGUUGUAAUGGCUUGUAUAUGCUUGGGCCAGUGAGUGGCACUAUUAGGAAAUGUGGCCUUGUUGGAGUAGGCGUAUCACUUAAUACCCUAGUCCUAGCUGCUUGGAAGCCAGUUUUCCACUAGCCGCUUUCAGAUGAAGAUACUGAACUCUCAGCUCUCCUGCACCAUGCCUGCCUGGACACUGCCAUGCUCCUGCCUUGAUGAUGAUGGACUGAACCUCUGAACUGUAUAAGCCAGCCCUAAUUAAAUGUUGUCAUUUAUAAGAGUUGCCUUCAUCAUACUGUCUGUUCACAGCAGUAAAACCCUAACUAAAACAGAAGAAGUUGGUAUUAGGACUAGGGUAUUGCUGUGAUAGGCCUGACCAUGCUUUUGUCUGGAAGAAUAUGAAUUUAGGGACUUUGGAUUUGGAAAGCGGUGGAAUGCUUUAAAUGGGGCUUAGUGGGCCAUCCUAGUAGGAAUAUGGAAGACUUUGUUGCUGAGAAUGAUUUGAACUGGGCAGACCUGGCCCAAGAGGUUCCAGUGAAAAUUUUCAGUAUGUGGCCUAGAGACUGCUUUUGUAGUAUUUUGGUGAAGAACAUGGCUGCUUUUUGCCCUUGUCCAAAGAGGCUUCACCUGAAGCUAAGGUAAAGAGAUUUAUAUUAAUUGCAUUGGCAAAGGAAGUCUCAAAAAAGUCCAGCAGAGACUUUUGUUCUCUGGUUAAGUCUCUUGAAGAACAUUUUGAACAAGUGUAGCAAGC
rnacentral:lncRNA from 1 species